rnacentral:misc_RNA from 1 species
GAUGAAGAACUUAGCGAAAUGCGAUAAGUAAUGUGAAUUGCAGAAUUCAGUGAAUCAUCGAAUCUUUGAACGCACAUUGCGCCCGCCAGUAUUCUGGCGGGCAUGCCUGUUCGAGCGUCAUUUCAACCAUCAAGCCCCAGGCUUGUGUUGGAGCCCUGCGGCUGCCGCAGCCUCCCAAAACCAGUGGCGGGCUCGCUAUCACACCGAGUGCAGUAGUUUACUCUUCGCUCAGGGCGUGUGGCGGGUGCUAGCCGUGAAACCCCCAACUUCUCAAGGUUGACCUCGGAUCAGGUAGGAAUACCCGCUGAACUUAAGCAUAUCAAUAAGCGGAGGA